rnacentral:lncRNA from 1 species
UUUUUUUUUUUUUUUUUUUUUUUUUUUGGUUUUUGGAGGCAGGGUUUCUCUGUAGCCCUGGCUGUCCUGGAACUCACUUUGUAGACCAGGCUGGCCUUGAACUCAUAAAUCCGCCUGACUCUGCCUCUCAACUGCUGGAAUUAAAGGCGUGUGCCACCAUACCCGGCUUCACUAUCUUUCUAACACAUGAGCAUUGUCUAUUUUUAAUCUUUAUUGUGCUGUAAUUGUACUACAUAUCACAAUCCAAAGUGCUGUUAGUUCUGUCUGUGUGACAUUCAUGGUUUAUUUAUAAAAUACUUUUCUACCAUCCUGUCUAAGUCCUUCAGUUCACAUCACCCCACACAUUUAUAUUAAAUGAGUUUAAAUGGGAGACUUUAACCUUUCCAGCCAAAACUGACUUCUGCAUAACUCCCACAUUUCCUUAUCUCUCUAUUAAAAUAAGGAACAUGCAUUCUCUAAUUUAGUUAGAUCUUUAUGAGGUAGUUUCAGUUUCAAAUAAGGGAGAGAAGGUGGUCAUCUAAUGUUCUGCUCUAUGAGUCAUUAGAAGCACUGCAGGAAAGGAGGCCCAUAGCUGAUUUGGAUAAUCAACCUGUUGUUUGCUCCCCAAAUUAAUCUCUCUGACACUAAAAAGGAAUAGCAAACCUAUGAACACCAUUCUUACCUCCAUCCCCAAAUCUAAAUGGGCAGGAAACCAUGUCUGCUUAUAAUCUGUAUCACUAUGUCCUGUCAUAGGCAAGUGCAUAUGACAUUUGCCUUCUCUGUGAGGUGGAAAGAGUCAUAUGCUAAGUCCUCCUGCCCACCAAUCAUUGACUCAGUGUACUGGCUGGUUUUGUGUGUCAACUUGACCAAGCUGUAGUUAUCACAGAGAAAGGAGCUUCAGUUGAAAAAAUGUCUCCAUGAGAUUCAGCUGUAAAGCAUUUUGCCAAUUAGUGAUCAAGUGGGGAGGGCCCAUUGUGGGUGGUACUAUCUCUGAGCUGGCAGUCUUGGAUUCUAUAAGAAAGCAAGCUGACAAGCCAGGGGAAGCAAGCCCCUAAGUAACAUCUCUCCAUGGCCUCUGCAUCAGCUCCUGCUUCCUGACCUGCUUGAGUUGCAGUCCUGACUUCCUUUGAUGAUGAACAGCAGUAUGGAAGUGUAAGCUGAAUAAACCCUUCCCUCCCCAACUUGUUUCUUGGCCAUGAUGUUUGUGCAGGAAUAGAAACCCUGCCUAAAAGUCCUUGUCUAGCAGCAUAUGAAAUACAAUACCUUUUCUUCAUGACUUUGGUUUCAGAGCCUGCCCUGUAAAUUUUGUGAGUUCACAGAAUUCCUUUUAUUAUUUGCAUUGCCUCAGUACUUGGCAUAGACCUUGGUGGGAUAUUUUAUUGGGGUCAUGCACACGUAGAAAUAAUUUGGAAUGCUUUAGGUUUUUCUAGCUCUCUCAGCUCUUGAGCUCCAAAGUACUCUGAGGUUCUAGGGAGCUAAAGUUCCGGGGCCUAAUUCACAUGCUUAUGGAAUCAGUUUACUUACUAUAGUUUAUAAAGAAGACUAUACUGUCUUUUAUAACUAAAUGCAGACUGCUUACACACAUGCGCGCGCACACACACACACACACACACAUGCGCGCGCAGAAGAGAGACAGAGAGACAGAAAGACAGAGAGACAGAGAGAGACAGAGAGAGAGACUGAAGUUUUAUUAAUGCAGAACAUUUAUCGAAGUAUAUAGUCAAGUAUGUUGGACUUUGCUAUAGGGAAAUGCUGAAAGAUUGUAUCUAAUUAAAAUUUUCCAUUCAGAAAUCAUUAGAACUAUCAGGUAAUUUGUUAGAUUUGACUUGAAGAGAAUUUUCAGAUUGCAAUACUCAAAAUCAAAAUAAAAGAAAAUUUGGAGUUUAGUAUGUUUUUAGUAUCUAUUGAAACAUAUUCUUUGAACAAUAUCUGUUUAUAUAAAUUCUUUCCCAAUGCUAUCAUUCAGAAGUCACGUUCUUGACAAGUGCGUUUUCCCAAACCAUAGUAUUUCAUGAGAUCUGAAUGAAAAAGAUAAUGCUUUUUAUAAAAGCAAUGCCUAGUAGCUGG